UGAGGUGGGGAGCCAGGCUGGCAGCCACCCUAAGUGUUGAUGGGAGGAAGGGGUGGAGGGGGGCUCUGGAGCUGCAGGGGGAGUGUGGUCUUGGCUCAGCAAUGCCUGGAAACACCCUGGCUGCCAGGCUGUCCAGGCAGGUAGGAAACCCCCCAAAUCAAUAGAAAAUUAUGAGUUCAAUGGAGCCCAUCUCAAAGCUGUCAGGACCUGGGAGGAAAGUGCAGUAACCAGGAAGGGAAAACGCUCUUAAUUCAGACUCUUUUUGGAAAGCAGGGCCCAGAGAGAGGCAUAUUUGGGUGCAGAGCAGAGUCACCUCUGAGUGAAGGGACUGGCUGGUGGUGGGGAGGAGGUCCUUCCCUUCGCUUCCCCCCCCAUGUUCUCUGUGCCAGGGUGGCUGCCACAGCUGCUGCAUGGAAGGUGCUGACAGCCGGAGAAGAAAGGAGGCUUGUUUUGUUCAAUUUACCAAACCACACAGUAGACUUUUUAAAAUUACAGUGUAAGAAAUAGCAGUAACUGCCUCUCUUUAUUUUCCCAUCAAGGGGCAGGCGGCAAAGCCCUUCCCACCUUGCUUGUCCUGAAUCCCUGCCCAGCACUGCCUUGGUUUUGGGGCAGCCUGGAGCUGGGGACGAGGCUGCUGUUAAUGCUGACGUGCAGAGUUGAGUUGGUUUGUCCUUACAGGGGACACAGAAUCAUUGAAUCGGUUUGUUUGGAAAAGACCUUUCAGAUCAUCAAGUCCAACCAUUAACCCAGCCCUGCCAAGGCCACCGCUCAACCAUGUCCCUCAGCACCACAUCUACAUGGCUUUUAUAUCCCCUCAGAGAUGGUGACUCCACCACUGCCCUGGGCAGCCUGUGCCAGGGCCUGACAACCCUUUCCAUGAAGAAAUUGUUCCUAAUAUCCAAUCUAAACCUCCUCUGGCACAACUUGAGGCCACUUCCUCUUGUUCUAUUGACUGUUCCUUGGGAGGGAUGAGGGGAGAGAGCCAGGGCAGCGGGAUCUCCAGGAUCUCCUGUGCAUCCUAUGAAGGGCCAGGGUGGCAGAAAGGACCAGCCCCUGGUGACACUGUAAGUAGUGAUGUUGCAGCUGGGGCUGGCUCAAGAUGUGGAUCAUUUGGUUAAUGAAGGGCUCAGGCCUCCUUGCCUUUUUAACCAGGUUUUUUAAAUGGGUAAUUUAUUCAGGAGCUGGAGCAGAGCGUGGGCUCCUCUCGCCUGCUCCCCAAGUGAGUGCCACAAUAUGUCACAGCAAUUAGCACCUGGUGGACAUGGUCACUGUCACCAGCCCCACAACAGGGCCUCAGCUGGUCCCCAGGCUCUGCAGCUGUGGAAACCACAGCAGUGGGUGGGGAACAUCCCUGAGCAUCCCCAGCUAACUAACCCUGGUUAGUUAGUGGUGUGGUUGGGUGCCAGGUUUGACGACCUGGGCCUGCUGCCACCCUGCAAUAACGCAGCUUUGGGGACCAGGUUCUUCCACUCACACCGAGAAUAGGAACUUUAAUUGUCUUUGUUUGCCUUGCAGAGAAGAAACCACCGUGUGAUGGAUGUGAGCAGCAGCCACCACCCAGCCCGUGGGAGCCUGUGCUCAUGCUCGUUGCAGCUGCUGGAGGGAGGAGCCCGUCCCGUGUCCCGCUGUGCGCUGACCUUCACUGCCACAAUCCUGACGGAGCUCCUGGUGCUGCCCAUCCCUUAGGACCUGGAGGUGAUGACCAUGUGGGGCUGAACCAUCUCCUCCAUCCCAGUCCAAACCUGCAUCCUGAGCUCCCGGCUGUGCCCCCCCACCUACAGGGACUGGUGCUGUUCUGGGCAAAACAAGAACCUCCUCACGUAGUGUUCGCACACGGCAACGGGUUUGACUUGGAUUCUGUCUGG